AUGUAGAGCAAUCUGUCUUUAAGUAGGGAUAAAUUACUCUUAAAGAAAAAGAAGGAAUCCUAGAUACUUUUCCCUUCAAGUCAAGCGUCUUGU
rnacentral:pre_miRNA from 1 species